UUGGGCGUCUAAUUCAAACGAGAAGCUGUUUCAUAGGCCUGAAAAGUGUUUCAGCUCUGGAUAUACAGCGUGUUCUUCAUUCUGGAGGAAGUUCAGAAGACUAAAGUGGACUUAUAUUUGACGUUUGUAGCGCACACGAGGUUCAUUGUGGACUUGAGGAGAAUAAAGGGACCCGAGAGCAGCAGUACAGACAAACAGGGCUAAGCGCAUCAUCAGGGAUACUCUCCUCCUUCUCUGAAAAUUAUCCUUUCUUGAUGACGUUAACAAGAUUCCUGAAAGUUUGUAUAUGGAAAUGUUCCAUAACCCCGAUCUAUGUUUAUACGGAGCAGAGACCAUGUGACUCCUGGGAAUGAUUCCCAAACACUGAGUCCAAAUGAGAAUGAAGCGUUCUUCUUCUUUACCAUUUGUGGACCGACUAAAACACUUGCGCGUAUUUGCUGCCCCCAUCAGGUCCGGAAGAAUUGC